rnacentral:rRNA from 1 species
AUACAGAGGAUGCGAGCGUUAAUCGGAAUUACUGGGCGUAAAGCGCGCGUAGGCGGCUUGGUCAGUCGGAUGUGAAAGCCCCGGGCUCAACCUGGGAAUGGCAUUCGAUACUGCCAGGCUAGAGUAUGGGAGAGGGAAGUGGAAUUUCCGGUGUAGCGGUGAAAUGCGUAGAUAUCGGAAGGAACACCAGUGGCGAAGGCGACUUCCUGGCCCAAUACUGACGCUGAGGUGCGAAAGCGUGGGGAGCGAACAGGAUUAGAAACCCGAGUAGUCC